rnacentral:rRNA from 1 species
AUACGUAGGGGGCAAGCGUUGUCCGGAAUUAUUGGGCGUAAAGCGCGCGCAGGCGGUUCUUUAAGUCUUGUGUUUAAUCCCGGGGCUCAACCCCGGUGCGCAUGGGAAACUGGAGGACUAGAGUGCAGGAGAGGAAAGUGGAAUUCCACGUGUAGCGGUGAAAUGCGUAGAGAUGUGGAGGAACACCAGUGGCGAAGGCGACUUUCUGGCCUGUAACUGACGCUGAGGCGCGAAAGCGUGGGGAGCAAACAGGAUUAGAUACCCUGGUAGUCCACGCCGUAAACGAUGAGUGCUAGGUGUCGGGGGUUUCAAUACCCUCGGUGCCGAAGUCAACACAGUAAGCACUCCGCCUGGGGAGUACGCUCGCAAGAGUGAA